CCUACGGGGGGCUGCAGUGGGGAAUAUUGCACAAUGGGGGGAACCCUGAUGCAGCGACGCCGCGUGGGUGAAGGAGUAUUUCGGUAUGUAAAGCCCUAUCAGCAGGGAAGAACAAUGACGGUACCUGACUAAGAAGCACCGGCUAAAUACGUGCCAGCAGCCGCGGUAAUACGUAUGGUGCAAGCGUUAUCCGGAUUUACUGGGUGUAAAGGGAGCGUAGACGGUUACGCAAGUCUGGAGUGAAAGGCGGGGGCCCAACCCCCGGACUGCUUUGGAAACUGUAUAACUGGAGUGCAGGAGAGGUAAGUGGAAUUCCUAGUGUAGCGGUGAAAUGCGUAGAUAUUAGGAGGAACACCAGUGGCGAAGGCGGCUUACUGGACUGUAACUGACGUUGAGGCUCGAAAGCGUGGGGAGCAAACAGGAUUAGAUACCCCUGUAGUC
rnacentral:rRNA from 1 species